GGGCGAGUGGUGGAACUGGCAGACACGCUAGGUUCAGGGUCUAGUGCUCGUAAGAGCAUGGGGGUUCAAAUCCCCCCUCGCCCACCA
rnacentral:tRNA from 1 species